GCAUAUCCAUAAGCGGAGGAAAAGAAACCAACAGGGAUUGCCCUAGUAACGGCGAGUGAAGCGGCAACAGCUCAAAUUUGAAAUCUGGCUCUCGGGCCCGAGUUGUAAUUUGUAGAGGAUACUUUUGAUGCGGUGCCUUCCGAGUUCCCUGGAACGGGACGCCAUAGAGGGUGAGAGCCCCGUCUGGUUGGAUGCCAAAUCUCUGUAAAGUUCCUUCAACGAGUCGAGUAGUUUGGGAAUGCUGCUCUAAAUGGGAGGUAUAUGUCUUCUAAAGCUAAAUACCGGCCAGAGACCGAUAGCGCACAAGUAGAGUGAUCGAAAGAUGAAAAGCACUUUGAAAAGAGAGUUAAAAAGUACGUGAAAUUGUUGAAAGGGAAGCGUUUAUGACCAGACUUGGGCUUGGUUAAUCAUCUGGGGUUCUCCCCAGUGCACUUUUCCAGUCCAGGCCAGCAUCAGUUUUCCCCGGGGGAUAAAGGCGGCGGGAAUGUGGCUCUCUUCGGGGAGUGUUAUAGCCCACCGUGUAAUACCCUGGGGGGGACUGAGGUUCGCGCAUCUGCAAGGAUGCUGGCGUAA
rnacentral:rRNA from 1 species